rnacentral:rRNA from 1 species
AGGUCAAGCAAAAAAGAGCGCAGGGUGGAUGCCUUGGCACUAAGAGCCGAAGAAAGACGUGAUAAGCUGCGAAAAGCUGCGGGGAGGAGCAAAUAUCCACUGAUCCGCAGAUGUCUGAAUGGGGAAACCCGCAUGAGCACACCUCAUGCAUCCAUACGCCAAUCCAUAACGUAUGGAGGGGAACCGCCUGAACUGAAACAUCUAAGUAGGGCGAGGAAGAGAAAGAAAAUUUUUCGAUUUCCAAAGUAGCGGCGAGCGAAAUGGAAAGAGGCCAAACCGGAGUGCGUGCACUCCGGGGUUCGGACCGCAUUUAAGAUCUGAUGAUCCUAGCAGAAAGGUUUUGGGAAAGCCUGCCGUAGAGGGUGAAAGCCCCGUAAGCGAAAGGAAAGUCAGCUGAGCGGUAUCCAGAGUACAUCGAGACACGAGAAACCUUGAUGGAAUGAGCGGGGACCACCCCGUAAGCCUAAAUACUCCUUAGUGACCGAUAGCGCAUAGUACUGUGAAGGAAAGGUGAAAAGGACCCCGGGAGGGGAGUGAAAGAGAACCUGAAACCCUGUGUUUACAAGCUGUGGGACAUCUUUACAUGAUGAACCGCGUACUUUUUGUAGAACGGUCCGGCGAGUUGCGGAUGCCGGCAAGGUUAAGCACUUAAGGUGUGGAGCCGAAGGGAAACCAAGUCUGAAGAGGGCGCAUAUAGUCAGUAUCCGCAGACCCGAAACCGGGUGAUCUACCCAUGUCCAGGUUGAAGUUGCCGUAAAAGGCAAUGGAGGACCGAACGCACAUCCGUUGAAAAGGGUGGCGAUGAGGUGUGGGUAGGGGAGAAAUUCCAAUCGAACCCGGAGAUAGCUGGUUCUCCUCGAAAUAGCUUUAGGGCUAGCCUCGUUUUAGUCUUAUGGAGGUAGAGCACUGAAUUUCCGCGGGGGCGUCAAAGCUUACCAAAGAAUAUCAAACUCCGAAUGCCAUGUAGAUGAUGAACGGGAGUCAGACUGCACGAGAUAAGUUGGGCAGUCAAAAGGGAAAGAGCCCAGACCGCCAGCCAAGGUCCCAAAGUGUGUGUUAAGUGGAAAAGGAUGUGGGAUCUCCAAGACAACUAGGAUGUUGGCUCAGAAGCAGCCACACAUUCAAAGAGUGCGUAACAGCUCACUAGUCGAGAGGUCCUGCGCCGAAAAUGUCCGGGGCUGAAACACAACACCGAAGCUGCGGAAUUGCGAAUGCAAUUGGUAGAGGAGCAUUCUUAAUACCGACGAAGCUGUACCGGAAGGAGCAGUGGAGGGAUAAGAAGAGAGAAUGCCGGAAUGAGUAGCGAGAGAGAGGUGGGAAUCCUCUCGGCCGAAUAUCCAAGGUUUCCAGAGUAAAGCUGAUCUGCUCUGGGUAAGUCGGGGCCUAAGGCGAGGUCAAGAGACGUAGCCGAUGGACAACAGGUUUAGAUUCCUGUACCGCAUAUAAACAGAACUGUGGGGACGCAUGGGGAGAGCAUGGGCCGGGAAUGGAAAUACCGGUGCAAGCGAAGGAGGUGUGCAGCCGGCAAAUCCGCUGCAUGAGCCGAAAGCGUGACGCGGAGCGAAAUGAAAGUAGCGAAGCAUGUGAGCCCUGUGCCGAGAAAAGCCGCUAUAGCUUUAUAUGUGCCCGUACCGUAAACCGACACAGGUGGAUGAGGAGAGAAUCCUAAGGCCGGCGGAAGAAGUAUUGUUAAGGAACUCGGCAAAAUGACCCCGUAACUUCGGGAGAAGGGGUGCCCACGGGAGUGGGCCGCAGAGAAUAGGCUCAAGCAACUGUUUAGCAAAAACACAGGUCUAUGCGAAACCGAAAGGUGAAGUAUAUGGGCUGACGCCUGCCCGGUGCUGGAAGGUUAAGAGGAGAGGUCAGCGCAAGCGAAGCUUUGAAUUUAAGCCCCAGUAAACGGCGGCCGUAACUAUAACGGUCCUAAGGUAGCGAAAUUC